UACGGAAGGCAGCAGUGGGGAAUAUUGCACAAUGGGCGCAAGCCUGAUGCAGCCAUGCCGCGUGUAUGAAAAAGGCCUUCGGGUUGUAAAGUACUUUCAGUCGUGAGGAAGGUGUUAAGGUUAAUAACCUUAGCAAUUGACGUUAGCGACAGAAGAAGCACCGGCUAACUCCGUGCCAGCAGCCGCGGUAAUACGGAGGGUGCGAGCGUUAAUCGGAAUUACUGGGCGUAAAGGGCACGCAGGCGGUUAAUUAAGUUGGAUGUGAAAUCCCCGGGCUUAACCUGGGAAUGGCAUUCAAGACUGGUUAGCUAGAGUCUUGUAGAGGGGGUAGAAUUCCGAUGUGUAGCGGUGAAAUGCGUAGAGAUGUGGAGGAAUACCGGUGGCGAAGGCGGCCCCUGGACAAAGACUGACGCUCAUGUGCGAAAGCGUGGGGAGCAAACAGGGAUUAGAUACCC
rnacentral:rRNA from 1 species